UAUAAAAGUCUUUUUUUUUGUGGGUGAAAAUGUUCUGAUAACUGCUCUCUAUUACCAGCACCAGUUAUCUAUUUUAAUGCAUGGAAUUGGAUCUAGAGAAGGUUUUUGUAGAUGGCUUAGACUUUGAAAUUUGUUUAGAGGUCUUCUAGUUCUCAUUAUUAUGAUCACCAGUUGUAUAGGAUAGCCUUCUUAACAUGCAUAUGGUGCAUGUUUCAUUUAGGAUCAGGGGGUUGGAGCUGGGAUGAUUGGAGGCUUGAAUCUUUGUUGAUUAUUAUAUUAGGACUAUUUUUGAGAUUCUCGUCCUUCUAUAGAUGGGAAGGAUUUGAUGUGAGUUUUAAUAAUUUGCAACUCAUAGUAGAGUUUGAUUUAUAAGUUCUUUAAUUAUGUCAAAAGUAGGUAUUCCUCCCCUUUCGGUUCAUGUGGAUGCAAAAUAGAUGUUUGUCUCAUUUGGAGAUUUUAUUUUAACAAUCUGUUUCGAUGUACGUUUCGUAUGGGAACCUAUAUGAAAACUUGUAUUGAUACAACAAUCACAGAAUCAUCGUCUGAGAUUGAUUCAUUGUGUAUGUUGAAGUGAUUUCAUCCAAUCCAAAAAUUAGACCAAUUAGUAGGAUGGGCAUAUUUGUAUUUGAUCUUAUGCUUUAAGUCAAUCAGCAAUGCAGAUUAUAGUGAGACAUUCGCCUAUAACGACACAGCGUUCAUAUACCUGCAACACGUAGUCCCGGUGAUAUGUCAGCCAAUUUGGGAGGUUCCACUCCGACUUCGACUCGGUCGCCGUUGCGUAGCCCGGUUCCACCAACACGUUGCUCACCACGUGAGAAGUCCGUAAAAUCCCUGGCAAAGCCUUCCUCUCGCGCUGCCAAGAUCAAAUGGACUGGAACUAUGGAUUAAUUUUUGUUUGACACCUUGAUUGAGCAAAUUGCACUAGGUUGAAAGGCAAAUAAUGGCUUCAAACGAGAAGCAUAUCAAAUGGCCAUCAACGAGGUCCAUAAACGUACACAGAUUCUUGUCACCUGGCAAAAUGUCCAAAACAGAUUGAAGUAUCACAAGAGGGAGUACGGUGAUGUAAAGGACAUGCUGGCUGCGAGCGGCUUCGAUUGGGACAUUGAGCGCAUGGUCGUGACGGCCCCAGACGAAGUUUGGGAGGAGUUUUUAAAGGUAACAUAACCUAUAAUUUUUGAUGUAUAAAAAAUUGAUAGUCAACUCACAUUUACUGAUUUUCAAAAUUAUCGUAUGUUUGUAGUCUCAUCCACGAGCUGAGAGGUUACGUGGCAA